AGAGUUUGAUUCCCUGGCUCCAGAAAUCAACGCUGGCGGCGUGCCUAACACAUGCAAGUCGAACGAGAAAGUGGAGCAAUCCAUGAGUAAAGUGGCGACCGGGUGAGUAACACGUGACUAACCUACCUCCGAGUGGGGAAUAACUCCGGGAAACCGGGGCUAAUACCGCAUAACACCGCAAGGUCAAAGCAGCAAUGCGCUUGGAGAGGGGGUCGCGGCUGACUAGCUAGUUGGCGGGGUAACGGCCCACCAAGGCGAAGAUCGGUAUCCGGCCUGAGAGGGCGCACGGACACACUGGAACUGAAACACGGUCCAGACUCCUACGGGAGGCAGCAGUGGGGAAUUUUGCGCAAUGGGGGAAACCCUGACGCAGCAACGCCGCGUGGAGGAUGAAGCCCUUUGGGGCGUAAACUCCUUUCGACUCGGACGAUUAUGACGGUACGAGUGGAAGAAGCACCGGCUAACUCUGUGCCAGCAGCCGCGGUAAUACAGAGGGUGCAAGCGUUGUUCGGAAUUAUUGGGCGUAAAGGGCGCGUAGGCGGUGCGGUAAGUCACCUGUGAAAUCUCCCGGCUUAACUGGGAGCCUGCAGGCGAAACUACCGUGCUGGAGUGUGGGAGAGGUGCGUGGAAUUCCCGGUGUAGCGGUGAAAUGCGUAGAUAUCGGGAGGAACACCUGUGGCGAAAGCGGCGCACUGGACCAUAACUGACGCUGAUGCGCGAAAGCUAGGGGAGCAAACAGGAUUAGAUACCCUGGUAGUCCUAGCCCUAAACGAUGAUUGCUUGGUGUAGCAGUACCCAAUCCUGCUGUGCCGCAGCUAACGCGAUAAGCAAUCCGCCUGGGGAGUACGGUCGCAAGGCUGAACUCAAGGAAUUGACGGGGGCCCGCACAGCGGUGGAGCAUGUGGUUCAUUCGACGCACGCGAGACCUUACCUGGGCUCGAAGCGCAGUGGACCGGGGUGGAAACAUCCCUUCCUCUUAA
rnacentral:rRNA from 1 species